CACAGUUGAACUUCGGAACGCGGAGCUGCUGCUUGGUUCGAGUCAGGCAUCGUUGCGCCGACCUUCUGGGGUGCCGUGUCUCCAUCUUUGGGUCCUCCUUUGCUGGACCCGGCGCUUCGGACCGGUUUUGUGUGUGCCGGUGUGCUGUUCGGACAUCCAAACCCGCGACAGUCUUAUGACUUCGCGUUCAUCUUCAUAGCGCGGGACCAAUUGUUACCGGUUGAGAGAUCCGUCUUGAUUGGCGGUGUGUUCGAAGCGGUGUUGCCACUGACCUGAAACGGCACAGGUUGAAGCUGUUGGUUUUCCCCUCGGGGUGGCCAGCCUUCCCUCCCUCGGUCUGCCCGCGUGUGUUACCGUGAAUAAACCGAGACGUUCAAGGUGACCGACUUGUCGGCCGCACGCUUCAUCAUGGGACAACAGGGGAUCGACCGGUGGACCCUGCUUCUGCCAUUUCUUCAUGGUCCAUUUUCGGACAACCCRAGGCGUGCUCUUUCACGAUGCUGCCGUUGGUGAUGCUGCUGUGUGCCGCCAGUAGUUGCAAAAUGACUGCGGUUUCCACUCGACGGUGUCGUUUCUCCUGCGUGUGGCUGACCGAUCGACACGUUCUUGAUCGGAAUCGAGGAGCUCCCCCGAGGCAAUUUGUAUUGCGGCACGAGAGGUGAAAUUCUUAGACCGCUGUAGGACACUCUGCCGCGAAGGCCCUUUGCCAGAUGGUGUUUGUCAAUCAAGAACGAGAGUAUGGUGAUCGAAGAUGAUUAGAUACCGUCGUAGUCCAUGACCGUAAACCGUGCCAGCUCGGCGUUGGGGCCGCUCUGUUGCAAAACGAGUAUCCCAGCACCUUCUCCCCUCAACGAGAAAUCCAGAGCUUUUGGGUUCAGGGGGUAGUACUAUCGCAAGACUGAAACUUAAAGGAAUUGACGGAAUGACACCACCAGGCGUGGAGUAUGCGGCUUAAUUUGACUCAUCACGGGGAAUCUUACCAGGUCAGAACAACUCGUGGAUUGACAGAUUGACAGCUCUUUCUUGAUUCGUUGGACGGUGGUGCAUGGCCGUUCUUGGUUGGUGCUGUGAUGUGUCUGGUUUAUUCCGAUAACGAGCGAGAUACCGACCUCUCAAUAGACGCCGUCGUCGUAAUCUGUAGGAUGGAACGCGGCCGGUGUUCGUCACCCUCUCGGGGGUGGCGUCUCUAUCGGCCCAUGAUUUCCGUCCGAGACGUCGUCCCGCU
rnacentral:rRNA from 1 species